rnacentral:RNase_P_RNA from 1 species
GAAGCUGACCAGACAGUCGCCGCUUCGUCGUCGUCCCUUUCGGGGGAGACGGGCGGAGGGGAGGAAAGUCCGGGCUCCACAGGGCAGGGUGCCAGGUAACGCCUGGGGGGGAAACCCACGACCAGUGCAACAGAGAGCAAACCGCCGAUGGCCCGCGCAAGCGGGAUCAGGUAAGGGUGAAAGGGUGCGGUAAGAGCGCACCGCGCGGCUGGUAGCAAGGCCAAAUAGGGGUUCACAUGGUACGGCCCGUACUGAACCCGGGUAGGCUGCUUGAGCCAGUGAGCGAUUGCUGGCCUAGAUGAAUGACUGUCCACGACAGAACCCGGCUUAUCGGUCAGCUUCAACU